UUUACUAAAGAAACAGCUGCGGUAACAUGUCACUUUUUCUAAACUUUAUUUUUAUUCUGUCUUUUGUGUGCUUUUUCAAAUUGAUUUAAAAUUUUUGUUUUAAGAAAGUCAUGGUUAAUUUAUUUUAUUGUUCUCAUAAAAACUUUUGUGUAAUGAUGUAAAACUUUAUUACACAAAAGUCACAGGUAAUUAAUUUUUAUUAUUCCCUUAAUAUUGGUUUUAUCUAUUCCCGCUUGAAUGGAAUUAACAACAAAAUGUUUUGACGAAAAGAGCAAUGCUAGGCUAAAACAAAUCAUGUGAUAAAAUAAAGUGAUUUCAUUAGUAAGGAAUUUUAUUGCAUGCGAAAUUAAAUUUACCUUAACGGGAGCUUUGUUAUAAAUUGUUAUACGAGUAAAGUCACAGCCGUCUUAAUAAAACUAUCAACAAACUUUUUUGUGAUAAGAAGCACAACAAAUUUAAGUGGAUUAUUCCACGGGUUUAAAUAACUAGUAUGUUGUAUAUAUUGGGAUAAUAUCGGAAAAUGAACUUUUAACUGUGGGUAUACCCCAAGGUACUAUUCUGGGACCACUUUUAUUUUUGCUGUACUUCAAUGAUCUUGCAGACAACUUAAAACAGAUUGUCAAAUAAGCGAAUGAUACAGUUUUAUCAUGGAGGAAAGUCACUCGACGUUAUUAAAACUAAACUCAAUCAUCGAAAUGGUGCUGUGACAACGAGCUUAUUCGUAAUAUGAAAUAAACAAAAAACUCAAGAAAUUAGAAAUUUGCACAUUAUCGUCCUCGUUCAUUCAUUUAUACCAAGAGAAAUAUAAAAAGUAACUAUGUUUUUAACAGCUGUAAAUCAAAAUUGUAUGUUCAUUUUUUGUUUUUGUUUUGUUUGAGUGAACAUUUUGACCAUUCUUUCUUUUAAUCGAGAUCCUCCCAUCCUCGUCCCCAGGGUUUAAUGCUAGCGGCUAAGCAAGAUUAUUUAUUAAGUAUUUUCCCCGCCUGCCGCCUCGAUGUUUAAAAGGCAAAAAAACCGUCUCUUCUCCUUUUCUUACUAAUUAUUGAUGUUUUUUGUUAAACUUAAGUUUUAGUUCGUAUAUGGUAGAUGCGUAUUAUUUAUUUGUAAAAAAAAUUAUUGCGACUCCGAUUGAUAGCAGUAAUAGUGCAUAUAUGUGUUUUAUUUAUGUGAAUAGGUUAUCCUGUAAAUAAUAUUGAAAUAAUAACAAUGAAGGCGAUAAGAUUUUCCAUUUUUGAAGUGCAUUUAAAUUUGUCUUUUAUUUUUGUCUUUUGGCCGAAUUAUACAUGUUGUAAAUCGC